rnacentral:rRNA from 1 species
AAUGAACGCUGGCGGCAGGCCUAACACAUGCAAGUCGAACGGAACCUUCGGGAUUAGUGGCGGACGGGUGAGUAACGCGUGGGAACAUAUCCAAAGGUACGGAAUAGCCUCGGGAAACUCGGAGUAAUAGCGUAGGUGCUCGAAAGAGGACAGAUUUAUCGCCUUUGGAUUGGCCCGAGUUGGAUUAGGUAGUUGGUGGGGUAAUGGACUACCAAGCCGAGGAUCCAUAGAUGGUUUGAGAGGAUGAUCAGCCACACUGAGGCUGAGACGCGGCGCAGACUCCUGCGGGAGGCAGCAGUGGGGAAUCUUAGACAAUGGGGGAAACCCUGAUCUAGCCAUGCCGCGUGAGCGAUGAAGGCCUUAGGGUUGUAAAGAUCUUUCAGGUGGGAAGAUAAUGACUGUACCACCAGAAGAAGCCCCGGCUAACUCCGUGCCAGCAGCCGCAGUAA